UACAGAGGUCUCGAGCGUUAGGCGGAAUUACUGGGCGUAAAGCGUGCGCAGGCGGUGAUGUAAGACAGGUGUGAAAUCCCCGGGCUUAACCUGGGAACUGCAUUUGUGACUGCAUCGCUGGAGUGCGGCAGAGGGGGAUGGAAUUCCGCGUGUAGCAGUGAAAUGCGUAGAUAUGCGGAGGAACACCGAUGGCGAAGGCAAUCCCCUGGGCCUGCACUGACGCUCAUGCACGAAAGCGUGGGGAGCAAACAGG
rnacentral:rRNA from 1 species